GCUCCAAAUAUAUCAUAUUAUUUGUUCCAAGAUAAUUUGAAGCUCCUGAAACUCACUGAUAAGGCAGUUUACUAUAUGCUGAAUACGAGGACGAGGAUGAGGAUGAUGACGAUGAUGAGAACGCGGAUGAGGAUCAGGACGAGUUUUCCCGUCCUCUAGACACAUUUGAUGAGAAGGAGUAAGAAGAAGAUAAAACUUCAAGAGAUGGCUUGUUGAGUUUGCUUCAGUACCUUUAACAGCUUUUGACAACCUAAUCAAGUGAUGGAAAUGGACACUGCAUACUUCUGUUGUGAAAAUUCUAUCAGGCUACUUGAACGGACAUUGACUGGGUGAAAAAAUAUUGUUACCUCGUCCUAAUCUUCGAUGGCUCAGAAAGCACAAUCGCACUGGUUUUCAGAUUUUCAAAGUUCUAGGAACUGUAAUAAACUUUGGGCUGCCUGUCUACGCUUACGGAUCUUGAUAAGAUUCUAGGACCAGAUUCACUGGCUCUGUAAUAUUAAAAAAAUGUGCUUUGCCAGCCGGAUCGCUUGAAAUAUUAGGGUGCUAGAGCAUCAGGACACCUGUCACCGACAAUCAAUGUUAAAAUUAUUAUUUUCUAUCCAAGGAGAAGUAUUGUUGUUACAAUGUAUGAAUUAUGUUGCUUUUACAAUAUUAAUUGUUUAGGUUUUGAAAGAGUUAAAAUUAUUUAGAAAAAAUGUUAACUGUACUUUGCAGUAUGAUUUUAGUUAUUUUCCAUCAUAACUUGAUUAGCCACCAUGAAAUUUAUUUAUGUUUAUCAUUUGUGAUUGAAGACACAUAUGUGUAUUUGUGGUUAUUGCAGUUAUAUAAAAAAAUAUGAGUAGCGAGCUAAGUAACCAGUUUUGUUUGCAUAUGUUAUCUGUAUCCCUUGAAAACUCUAUGCGAGGCAAUGAAUAAAGUAACAGGCAUUUCAACCGGCAGUCAUAAAGUGGAUUAAUUUGGACUUUUCUAAUUUUCAAAGUUCUAGGAACUGUACUAAACUUUGGGCUGCCUGCCUACACUUACGGAUCUUGAUAAGAUUCUAGGACCAGAUUGACUGGCUCUGUAAUAUUAAAAAAAUGUGUUUGCCAGCCGGAUCACUUCAAAUACUAGGGUGCUAGAGCAUCAGGAAACCUGUCAGUGGCGUGGUUCAAUAUCACCGACUUUCAAUGUUAAAAUGUUUAUUAUUUUCUUUCCAAGGACAAUUAUUGUUCUUACAAUGUAUGAAUUAUUUUGCUUAUACAAUAUUAAUUGUUAAGGUUUGAAAGAUUUAAAAUUAUUUUGAAAAAAUGUUAACUGUACUUUGCAGUAUGAUUUUCGCCAAUAUCAUUAGCCACCAUGAAAUUUAUUUAUGUUUAGUCUUAUCAUUUGUGAUUGAAGACACAUAUUUGUAUUUGUUGUUAUUGCAAUUAUAUCAUAAAAUAUGAGUAACGAGAUAAGUAACCAGUUGCCGAAUUUAAAAAAUUUGAGCGGCGGUUUAAAUAUUAGCCGCAGUGAAAACAAGGUUGGUUCCACUAAAAAUUGUAUCAAAUGUUUCAAGAUUUAAGCCGGCGCUGAAUUUAAACUGGGUUUUUGCGUAUUUAAACCGCCAAAAUUCUUUAAAUUCCAUCUCAUUAAAUUUAUUAUUUUCUAUCUAAGUAGAAUGAUUGUUCUUUGAAUGUAUAAAUUAUAAUGCUUUUACAAUA
rnacentral:lncRNA from 1 species